CCCCCGGGUUUUACAAAACAUGUCCUGAUGUUUUAUUAUAUUAGGUUUAACCUGCUCAAUGACUUUAUAUAGUUAAAUAGCCGCAGUAUUUUGACUGUGCGAAGGUAGCAUAAUCAUUUGUCUUUUAAUUGAAGGCUAGAAUGAAUGGUUGGAUGAGGGAAUAACUUUCUUUAUAUUAUAUUAUUGAAUUUAAUUUUUAGGUUAAAAAGCUUAAAUUUUUAAGUGGGACGAGAAGACCCUAUAGAAUUUUAUUCAAUAAAAAUUUAUGAAUUUAUGUUGAAAUUGUUAAAUUGUAAGUUCCUAUUGAAUUUUGUUGGGGUGACAUUGAGAUUUAAUUAACUCUCAUAUUUUAUUUUUUAUAAAUACAUAUAAUAUAUGAUCCUUUAUUAUGGAAACUAGAUUAAAUUACCUUAGGGAUAACAGCGUUAUUUUUUUGGAGAGUUCUUAUCGAUAAAAGAGUUUGCGACCUCGAUGUUGGAUUAAAAUUAGAUUUAAGUGCAGAAGCUUAAUUUUCUAGGUCUGUUCGACCUUUAAAUUUUUACAUGAUCAGUUUUCAAC
rnacentral:rRNA from 1 species